rnacentral:piRNA from 1 species
CUAGGAAGUAGAACAGAACAGAAAUG